rnacentral:rRNA from 1 species
UUCGCAAUGCCCGAAAGGGUGACGAAGCGACGCCGCGUGCGGGAAGAAGGCCUUCGGGUUGUAAACCGCUGUCGGGAGUUAAGAAGUGCAAGGGUGUUAAUAGCAUCUUUGCUUGACUAAGGCUCCGGAGGAAGCCACGGCUAACUCUGUGCCAGCAGCCGCGGUAAUACAGAGGCGGCAAGCGUUGUUCGGAAUUAUUGGGCGUAAAGAGCACGUAGGCGGCCGUGCGAGUCAGUUGUGAAAUCCUUCCGCUCAACGGAAGAACGGCAUCCGAUACUGCAUGGCUCGAGUGCGGGAGGGGAGAGUGGAACUUCUGGUGGAGCGGUGAAAUGCGUAGAUAUCAGAAGGAACACCGGCGGCGAAAGCGACUCUCUGGCCCGUAACUGGCGCUGAGUGCGCGAAAGCUAGGGGAGCAAACGGGAUUAGAUACCCCGGUAGUCCUAGCCGUAAACGAUGGGCACUAAGUAGAGGGGUUUU